rnacentral:lncRNA from 1 species
AAACAAUAAAGAAAAGUAAUCAAUUUUGUGACUGUAUUCCAACUCCUCAUGCAUGAGGACAGGGUAUGAAAAAUGCUGAGUUGGAUUGGCAGCCUUCUUCCAUGUGAAGGAUCACAUGUUACGUGAGGAAUUAAGGAUCCCUUCCACCCACCAUCUCUUCUGCAAAUCCCACAGACCACAAGUUCCAAUAUGAAGAAAUAAUAAAUAAAACAAAACACUAUGUUGAUUAUUAAGGGUGAUAGCCAGGAUUGCAAGUUGCAAAUUUUAUCUCAUUUUUUAAAUAUUAUGUUAGUUGUUAAAUUGUUCCAUUUUAGUUUUAGAAUAAAUUCAUUGUGAAUAUAUGUGUGUGUGUGUAUAUAUAUAUAUAUAUAUAUAUAUUGGUCCUUCAACUAUAUCUUUUCAUAAUUAUUUUAAUAAAUUGAUACAAGAAAUAAUUUAAUUUUAAGCUUCAUUAACAAUAGAAUGAAGGAAUGGAUGAAUAUAUUAUGUAUGUAUGUGUAUAAAUUAAUGUUUUUAUCAGUAUUGUUUUUGUACAAUUUUGUUUUGAAGAUGGAUUUAUAGGAGCAAAAAUAUAAAGAUAUUUUGGUUUAAGAAAGUUUCAUUUCAAUGAAACAUGUAUGUAUGUGUGUAUGUGUGUGUGUAUGCAUGUAUGUAUGUUUAAAAA